AUAUCUUUUCUGAAAUACUUGUUAAACGCAUUCCUGUGCAGAAAAUGUAUUGAUGCCGUUGUUAUUCCUUCAUAAUGUGCCGCGGUUGUAAAAAGUCCAUUACUGCCAGAAAAGGUUCAAAUUGCCGAAAGCGAGAAAAGCCGAUGAAAUUCUGAACGUUUGUAUUCGAUUACCUGGGCGGCGACUUUCACAGCACAAAACUCUUGUUUUUGCCGAUUUCACAUUUCUAAAAGCCAGAAUGAGAAACCUGUUUCUGCUUCUUGUGAAUAUUUUAGCCUCUUCCAGUCAAGAUCGGGUUUCUGAUGUGAGGAUGUGACGAACUGAAUUCAUGUCUGAGGACAGCAAGAACUGGAAAUGUGCAGAUCGAGUGUAAAUUUAAGUGUACAGGCGUGAAGGUGAGCGCUGAUGGAGGAGGAGGCGGAGGUCUGCUGGGACGGGGUUCAUGGACGAGUCCCGCUGGUCUCUGAGUCUCUCCUCAGCCCUCCUCGGUCCUGGGGAACCUUAUAAACCUGCUGCUGUGGCUGAAAUGAGCAGGACGAUGAGAGGAGAUCCAGGUCAGGACGACACCAUCAAAUCACCCCGCGGGCCGGAUUACGACCCCGUGGCGGGCCUGUCGUGGCCCUCGGGCCAUAUGUUUGACACCCCUGUUUUAUGAACCACGUAAAACCGUCGCAUCCUGUUUCUGCUCACGUUUUUAGACUUUUCUAUACAGAGGAGGAUCACCUCCACGGAUAGUUCAGCGUGCUGAUUUUCAGUUUCAGGGUAUUUUACUGCAUUCAGCUUCUGACUGAAACACUAGAGAUUAAAAUAAAAAAAGAAAAGUUGUUGCAGUUUGAGCGAAACAAAAAGAACUUUUCAAGCGUGUUGUGUCAAACAAAUAUUUAUUUUUUUGAAGCUGAACGAGGCUUACAAAGUCUUCGCUGAGUCUAUUUUUGUACAAAUGUAGAAAAGUGACGUUAAAAGUUUGUGGAG